rnacentral:lncRNA from 1 species
GCCAUCUUGAAAGAUUAUGUACUGUAUUAGGUUACUUGUUGAUCCGAGUUCACCCAUGCUGACUGGAUUGGUCAGACAUAAAAUAUACUGAUUAAAAUAAGAUUAGUCAUUAUAUCAAAUAUAUGUGACUAAUUAGAAGAGAUCUGAACCUAAAUCUUCUUACAAAUAUUAAGUCUACUGAUCUUGCACCAUUGUAGAGAUGCGGGUGCCUUUUUCGAUAUUAAUCAUUCUCAAUUGGUUAUAGUGGUUCGGUUGCAUCGAAAAGGCAAACC